rnacentral:lncRNA from 1 species
GCCUGCAUUUCCCAUGGUAGAAGGAAAAGGCGCUGCACCCGGGCAACUUUUCACAGUGAAGAGAUCGCCUUUCCUGGCUGCCCCUCGGGUCCUCCUGCCCACAGACGGCAGCCCUGGAGAGACUCAUGGAGUUCAUUGUACAUUACUCCAUCUACCGAGGCAGCGCAUGGCAUGACUGAACGGCUUGGAACAAACACAGAAAUUAGCACCACAAACAUUCAGGAACCAAAUAUAAUCUGCUAUGGUCACACCACAGACAAUGCAGGAAGAGGCUUUUUAUUGCUUGUGUGUGUUUUCAAAUCAAGUAGGCACAACCCAGUCCUCAUAACAGCCCUCGGGAGUGGACGCACCGGGGCGGGAGAGCGCAGGAGGGAGUGUGCUUGGCUAUCCUGCCCAGUGGAAAGGAAAGUGACGUGCAUUGAUCUUAGAGUCCUUGGCAACAGACUGUGGAGGCAAUAACAGGAUAAAGAAAGCAGGGAGAAC